rnacentral:rRNA from 1 species
UAAUACGUAGGUGGCAAGCGUUAUCCGGAAUUACUGGGCGUAAAGCGCACGCAGGUGGCUGCUUAAGUCUGACGUGAAAGCUCCUGGCUUAACUGGGAGAGGUCGUUGGAGACUGGGCGGCUUGAGGCGAGGAGAGGGGUGUAGAAUUCCCGGUGUAGUGGUGGAAUGCGUAGAGAUCGGGAGGAAUACCAGUGGCGAAAGCGGCACCCUGGCCUUGGCCUGACGCUCAGGUGCGAAAGCGUGGGGAGCGAACGGG